rnacentral:lncRNA from 1 species
GAAAGACAACUGGCAGAACACAAAGAAGCAAGUACAGGAAGCCACAAAGCCGAGAUAGCUGUCCCUCCCCAUCUCCAGUAGAAUGUAGGGGAAGCAGAGGGGAGGGUGGGAGGGGGCUGACUAACUUGAGGAAAGUUCUUAUUCAGUGUGUAUUCACACCUGUGGACUAACACACUUACAUAUAUACAUAUACAUAUGUAUUCACUUUAGGGUCACUGUAGUACUACAGUAGAUAUCCUGCUAACCAUGAAUAAGGAACCCUCUUUCCGUUCAGCUGCCCACCUAGAUAAGGCCCUGUCAAAGGCAAGCAAACAGACAGAAGACCACUGGAAGAAAUGAAGGAAGCAGAGGUGCCUGGAAGCCAACUGAGUUAUGGAAGAUGGUCACGUUUGUGUUCCGGUAGGGAAGAUGGCAUCAUGUUCGACACCAUUGCGGAGAAUGGAGCAAAAUUUUGCCUAAUGCUUCUGUUCCCAAACCAAGCUGUUUGCAAACAUAAGUGUUUGUGAACUGAGGUAGUACAGCAUUAUACCAUAUGGUACUAUUCUGUUGCAGCUCAGAGUUUUUCAUGUAUCAGUGUAGGUAGAAUGUUUCUCUUACAAGACACAUUAUUUUGUCUCAUUGUUUUUAAUACCUAUUCACUACUGUAUGACUGAAACAUUUAUUAAAACAGUUUCCUCCUUUACAUGGACAUUUAGGCUUCUUUCCAUUUCUUUAUUGUUACAUUAUUUAAUAUAUCAUACAUGAAGUAUUGCAUAUAAAUUAUUUUGCAAAUAUGAGAAUAUUUCAUGUAUCAGUACAUUUUCAGCAGCAACUAAUUGAAAUUCAAAUUAAUGUAACUGAGGUGCUUGAAUAAAAAACUCUUGGUUCUACAAGAAAAGUUUCAGUAGGAUAAUAGUUUAAAAUAUGGAAAGAUUCAAGCUCUAGGUUUUGAAAUGUUUCUGAAUCUCUUAUUUUUUACCUUCUGUGUGCAAUAAAUUCUCUGAAAAAAAUCUGUGUGUCAACAUCAUCAGUUGAUUUAGAUUGUGACCUUCUUAAAUGAAUCCACUUGAAGGAACUGUCUUUUUUAGGAAUCAUAUGGAAAUUUCUCAGUGGGACUUCAUCCACUUUUGUU